UAAAAUAUUAAAACAGUGGAAUCGUAAGGGAUAAUCGGUUUUUGAGUAUGAAGUUUUGAGAGAGGUAUCUUAUGCCACGUGAGGGUAUUGAUAGGGUAAAUUUUUUUUCUUCAGGGUAUUAUCUUUUGUUUUUCUUUUUUUAAAGGUAUUAUUUUUUUUUUCAGGCUAUUAUUUUUUGUAAAAUUCUUUUUUUUUUUUUUUUAAGUUUCUCAAUUUUAUCUUCAUUGUUUUUGGUGAUUUGAUUAAUAUGUUUGUGUGCUUU
rnacentral:lncRNA from 1 species